AUAAUAAUUCUAUUAUGCAAAGAACCAUGUAGUCAAGAACCCUAAAGCCAAAAUUGUUGCUGACAAGAACCUAAGAACCAUUUACUGAGGCCAUGAACUGAAGAACUUGGUUUACACAUGUUUUGAUGAACAUUUUUAGGAGCAUUGCUCAGUGGAUCUGGGGCAGAAAUUAUGGCUUUCUUCACAAAAUGAAAGGCUGUGAUCCGAUCCGAUAAAUCAGUGCCCUCUGCUCUUCUGGAAAGUUUGAAGAGAGACUGUAUAGAUACCAGAGCAGACUACUUCUUGGUGUUGAGAAAAGAGAGAGAUAUUGACCUCAUCAUUUCCCUGGAUUUCAGUGAUGAUGAUCCUUUCAAGAUCGCGCUGUGUGUUUAGUAAUAAUAGAGUUAAAGGGGCGGAGGAGAAAGAGCAUUGCAGACACACAUCGCAGGCUGUCUGUGCGCUCGGCCUCUCCAAACACACACGACGAAGAGCCGAGCAUCCUCCUCCUCCAGGAUUGGUGAGUGCUCAGCAUCAUCACUGACCGCAGCACGAAGUAAUAUAUGUCUGCCGGUGUUACACCCAAUGUUACACAUCCUCUAAAGCUGAACUGAUAUUCUGACAUUCUCCUGUAAAAUGUCUUGAUACACUUUUGCAUUUAUUCUUACUUAAAAGGUUUUAAAGUGUCCAGGC